rnacentral:misc_RNA from 1 species
GAAGCAGUAGCAGCAGCUGCCUUCCUAUGAGACUCAACUGCAGCCUGAUCCUGCUCCUGUCUAGUCACUCCAAAACGAUGUGCAACAUUUUCUGAAGUAACACCCAUGGGCAAAAGGCAAUUUUGGGCUUGCUCAAAGGCCUUUACUUUUGGAUUCACAUCUCCAUCCCAAGCCAUUGGAUUACUCGUCAUGGAUUCCAAACCAGCUCCAAUGCCAAUGUCAUAAAACCCUGCUUUGAUAGCUGCAGCUACAUCAGCAACUGCCUGAAGCCCAGACGAACAUUGCCUGUUAACAGUCCUAAUAGGCACAGUUUCAGGAAAACCGGCAUAGAAUGCAGCCAUCCUGCAUUCACUUGCUCUUUGAGAUCCCGGUGCCAACACUGUGCCCACAACAAUAUCCCCUACUUCACUUGGGUUCAAAUUUGUUUUCUCUAUCACUGCCUUCAAAACAGGAGCAAGUAAAUCAUCAGCAUGAGUAUCCUUGAAACCACCACGCUUUGACUUGCACAACGGAGUUCGAUAUGCUGCUACAAUCACAACAUCAUCUCCAUACACCGAAGUCCUAUGAUACGCGGCGCUAUCCCCAGCCAAGCACGCCGAUGCUGAGAGGGAGGACUCAUAAUUGUGCGAAGACGAUGAAGAAGGACGGAGGUGAUCGAGAAGAACUCGCUGCCUAUUGAUCGCUUUCUCCAUUAUUUUACGAGACGAUGAAGCAAGAAAGCAAGCAAGAGAAGAGAGGUCGAUUCGGCUCGGCUUCGAUGACCAAAUGGAGGAGAGUUGAGGUUGCCUUUAUGGCUUGGCGGUUAGAUUGAUAAUAAUACACGGG